rnacentral:rRNA from 1 species
UACGUAGGGGGGCAAGCGUUGUCCGGAUUUAUUGGGCGUAAAGAGCGUGUAGGCGGCCAGGUAGGUCUGCUGUGAAAAACUCGAGGCUCAACCUCGAGACGUCGGUUGAAACCGUACGGCUAGAGUCCGGAAGAGGAGAGUGGAAUUCCCGGUGUAGCGGUGAAAUUCGUAGAUAUCAGGAGGAACACCAAUGCGAAGGCAGCACUCUGGGACGUGACUGAACGCUGAGACGCGAAAGCGUGGGGAAGCAAACAGGG